GACGAACGCUGGCGGCGUGCUUAAUACAUGCAAGUCGAACGGAAAGGCCCUGCUUUUGUGGGGUGCUCGAGUGGCGAACGGGUGAGUAACACGUGAGUAACCUGCCCUUGACUUUGGGAUAACUUCAGGAAACUGGGGCUAAUACCGGAUAGGAUCUCCUGCUGCAUGGUGGGGGUUGGAAAGUUUCGGCGGUUGUGGAUGGACUCGCGGCUUAUCAGCUUGUUGGUGGGGUAGUGGCUUACCAAGGCUUUGACGGGUAGCCGGCCUGAGAGGGUGACCGGCCACAUUGGGACUGAGAUACGGCCCAGACUCCUACGGGAGGCAGCAGUGGGGAAUAUUGCACAAUGGGCGGAAGCCUGAUGCAGCAACGCCGCGUGCGGGAUGACGGCCUUCGGGUUGUAAACCGCUUUCGCCUGUGACGAAGCGUGAGUGACGGUAAUGGGUAAAGAAGCACCGGCUAACUACGUG
rnacentral:rRNA from 1 species